AACCUUUUAUUGAAGCUUCGGCAGAUUUAGCUGGUUUCUAGUGGCGGACGGGUGAGUAACGCGUGGGUAACCUGCCUUAUACAGGGGGAUAACAACCAGAAAUGGUUGCUAAUACCGCAUAAGCGCACAGGACCGCAUGGUCCGGUGUGAAAAACUCCGGUGGUAUAAGAUGGACCCGCGUUGGAUUAGCUAGUUGGCAGGGUAACGGCCUACCAAGGCGACGAUCCAUAGCUGGCCUGAGAGGGUGAACGGCCACAUUGGGACUGAGACACGGCCCAGACUCCUACGGGAGGCAGCAGUGGGGAAUAUUGCACAAUGGGGGAAACCCUGAUGCAGCGACGCCGCGUGAAGGAAGAAGUAUCUCGGUAUGUAAACUUCUGUCAGCAGGGAAGAUAGUGACGGUACCUGACUAAGAAGCCCCGGCUAACUACGUGCCAGCAGCCGCGGUAAUACGUAGGGGGCAAGCGUUAUCCGGAUUUACUGGGUGUAAAGGGAGCGUAGACGGACUGGCAAGUCUGAUGUGAAAGGCGGGGGCUCAACCCCUGGACUGCAUUGGAAACUGUUAGUCUUGAGUGCCGGAGAGGUAAGCGGAAUUCCUAGUGUAGCGGUGAAAUGCGUAGAUAUUAGGAGGAACACCAGUGGCGAAGGC
rnacentral:rRNA from 1 species